rnacentral:piRNA from 1 species
UGAGACAUAUCAGCCAAUACCCUGAAGUCU